rnacentral:rRNA from 1 species
AAACCGAGUCUUAAUUGGGCGUUAAGUUGCAGGGUAUAGACCCGAAACCCGGUGAUCUAGCCAUGGGCAGGUUGAAGGUUGGGUAACACUAACUGGAGGACCGAACCGACUAAUGUUGAAAAAUUAGCGGAUGACCUGUGGCUGGGGGUGAAAGGCCAAUCAAACCGGGAGAUAGCUGGUUCUCCCCGAAAGCUAUUUAGGUAGCGCCUCGUGAAUUCAUCUCCGGGGGUAGAGCACUGUUUCGGCUAGGGGGCCAUCCCGGCUUACCAACCCGAUGCAAACUGCGAAUACCGGAGAAUGUUAUCACGGGAGACACACGGCGGGUGCUAACGUCCGUCGUGAAGAGGGAAACAACCCAGACCGCCAGCUAAGGUCCCAAAGUCAUGGUUAAGUGGGAAACGAUGUGGGAAGGCCCAGACAGCCAGGAUGUUGGCUUAGAAGCAGCCAUCAUUUAAAGAAAGCGUAAUAGCUCACUGGUCGAGUCGGCCUGCGCGGAAGAUGUAACGGGGCUAAACCAUG